rnacentral:rRNA from 1 species
AGCAGUAGCCGCGGUAAUACGGAGGAUCCAAGCGUUAUCCGGAAUCAUUGGGUUUAAAGGGUCCGUAGGCGGUCUUGUAAGUCAGUGGUGAAAGCCCAUCGCUCAACGGUGGAACGGCCAUUGAUACUGCAGGACUUGAAUUAUUGGGAAGUAACUAGAAUAUGUAGUGUAGCGGUGAAAUGCUUAGAGAUUACAUGGAAUACCAAUUGCGAAGGCAGGUUACUACCAAUUGAUUGACGCUGAUGGACGAAAGCGUGGGUAGCGAACAGGAUUAGAUACCCGGGUAGUCCCUGUCUCUUAUAA